AGAUGGGCACGGCACGCUGCAUCUGCUGCUGCUGGUCCGGUCCGGGCCGGUCCGGUCCGGUUGUUAAUGAAACAGGAAGACUGUUACAGCUACAGCGUCAACGGCUGGCUAAAGACGCUAAAAUUUGUCUAUUCGGAGAGAAUAGCUAUGAAGAGAAGCCGAGAUAUUCAGAGCUUCUUCAAAAAGAAAAGUGAGAAUCAGAGCCAGCCACAGCAUCUGCCAGCAGCAGUGGAAAGGCCCAGUCAAAAGUGUAAAAAAUCUGACCAGCCACACCCAGAGGAUCAGGCGAUAGUGAGAGAUGAGUGUAAUCCAGCAGUGUCUGGAGCUCCACCUGCUAAACAUGGUGUGUUUGAGUGAAUGCAGGUUCCAGGGAGCUAAAUGGUCCUGGGGCUGGCUCCUCCCAUUUCCUGUCUGCUCUCCUCAGUCAGCCAGACUGCCACCAUGUUCGAUUGUGUGCAAGAUGUGUUUGAAUAAAGAAUGCUUCACUGCUGGUGGUGCUUGGAGGACAGGAAGGGGAGUUUGCGGGGAGGGAAGUCAGCUGGCGAGGGCGUGCGAGAGGAUACCGGUUGGACUACGAACAUUACCAUACACCCAUGGAAGCGGAACUGCUGUUGAGUGAUGGAAUCUGUGGCAGACCUCAAACCACCUGCAGGCAUUACUGAAACAUCAGCAUGAAGUUUUAUUUAGCAGUGCUCUCCAGUUCAAGGAUGCCCAUGUUAGCUGCUGAGGGAGGUGCCACAGCACAGAAACUUGGCUUCAAACACUGUGGCAGUUUCUUCUGUGCCUUGGAGGGAAAAGGUGGCAGGUCAUGUUGUCCUGUCCUUAACGUACCCCGUUGGGAGCGUACACAAGCUAAGCAUCUAACCUGGCCGAGUUGUUUCGUUUUCCUUGAUUUUUGUGGUUUUACCAUGGUGACGGUAUUCCCGGAACAUUCGUCAAACACCACAGGACGUGCUGCUGCGUGACCACGAGGGCCACGGUGCGCUCCCUGAAGCCACUUCUUUCAUUGAUGAUCUGGAUUGCGCCCUCCUCUUCUCGGCUUGCUUUCAAAUCAAAUGAGCGUGUACGUCAUCCGACUGCACAAGCCUGUAAUCAUGGAUCCCAACAGAUUUCUCCACGGCGGGGGCGAGAACAGGCAACCUUGAAUCAAUAGAGAACUCCAGAAACACAGCCUUAAACCUUGCUUUAUGGACGGCGGUCUGUGUGAGUGCAGAGAAGCAGAAUACCUCGCCACACGGUCAUGUCUGAGUCCUGUACUCCAGAGGAGGGCCGAGGAAGCGCACAGUCUCCUCAUCGCAGCAUCCAGUUCAGACGUCUUCAUCCGGCAUCAUUUGAUGUUUGAAGCCCCACUUCAGCCAUGGUUUCAUCCUGUUUAACAGCUUACGCUCUUAGCAUUGAUGGCAAGAGCAGGGCAUUAGCAUGGAUACUGAUAGCAAGGAUAUUUGCAUGGAAAGCAUAAUGUAUGUUGUGUGUGUGUGUGUGUGUGUGUGUGUGUGUGUGUGUGUGUGUGUGUGUGUGUCUUUCUUGUUGUUCUUCUUUGGACAUAGGUAUCUGCUAGAUGCUCUAGAUGCAAAUGCAAUAGCAAGGCUAUAUUGUGUAUGGACAGUUAAAGCAUGGGUAUAAGCACUGAGAAAAUACCGUAGACAUGGACAGCAAAAUAAUGGACACUGGCAUGAUGGUGUCAGCAGUCACAAUGAUAUAAAUGCCAAGUCUGUGUUGAUUGAACUUUGAAUUUUGAAGUAUAAGUGGAUGCAUCACAAUUUUUAUGUUAUAAUGUAUUUAAGAUUGCUCAGAUUCAUUCAAACGCUAUGUGUAAAGCGUACAUGGGGUCAGUGUUGACUGGUAUCUAACAGCAGUGUGUGGUGUCAGAGUCAAAGACAGAAUCACAAGGAGACCGUCUGCAUGUAACUGAUGUCACACACCGAGCCUCUCUGGACUUGGAAGCUUUUUUUUUUUUUUUUUUUUCAGCAGCUCUCCUCUCACCAGUGCCACCGCCGGCAUGCAACAUUCACUUGUGCAGAUUGCAAAUUAAAAGAGCAUAAAGAAGAAGACAUGUUCCAGACAUCCAAAGAUAUUCUCUUUCUACUUUGGGGCGAGGCUGCUGCUGGAGAGAGCGAACCAUCCAGGAUCUUAAAGCUGUUUAUGCUUGAUCCUGUGAGACCCUGUUACCAAAUACCUGUUACCACAUACCCAGUCCUAUCUGCGCUUUACAUACGCCGUCCCUCAUGUAUAUGAAACAGGAAAAUGGAAUUCACCAGGACACGGACGGCUUUCCUCUUCGCCUCUUUCAGAUACACAGAAGCGGCCCCCUUUCGCGCCCUCAUAUACUCGUGUUUACAAUCUGUAUAGGGUCUCCAAUCUUUCGCGGGAUCUCAAAGCAAACAGAAAAUUGUGUUUUUUUGGCGAGAAAGUUUUUCCUUCGAAAUACAUUUUGCUCAGCGUCGGGGGAGGGAAAAAAAAAAAGGAGCUCCGCGGUAGCUCUAUCUCCGAGGAGCAGGUGUGUUUUCGAGGCAACUGUUGUGAUUGUCAUCUAUUAUAGAGAAGUUUGCAAGCACUCGUUGGAAAAAAAAAAAAAGUGGGAGCAAGGGCGCCCGUAUACAGACACGCGCGUGGGAGACGGCACACAUAUCCGUAUGCUCGCUUCCCAGUUUUUCCGGGAUUUUGCAUUCAUUUUUUACACCACAAUCUGUUGAGCAAUGUCUACAGGGUCCCAUCUGUAAAUAAUAGAUGUAUUAGAAAAUGGAGCAUUUCUACCACUGUAAAAGUCUAUGAAUAAAUCACGAUUAUGAGCGUGUGUGUGUGCGCGACGUGUGCACCUGACUCGUGCUCCUCGCAUUAAAAGGGGCCAUUUGACAAGCUUUUCCAUGUUGUCAUCACACUCGGCUCUGCCGUGCCGCCGCAAUUGAUUUCCCCUCCCCCCCACACCUCACCCCCCAUCCGUCAUCCAUUAUGCUUAAGUCUGGUGCGGUUACUCCCAAAAUGAAAUCUCUUACAAAUGACUGAUUAGUGCAGUGAAAGACUCACAGAACAAUGGGAGCUUCUGGAGGAUCGAUGCGAUUGGAUUUAACUCCGACCGAGCCUCCGAAGUGUCAUUACUUCAUUUUUAUAGAUCUGCGGAGCAGCGAGUUUAAAUGGGCAAAUUAUUGCAGUACACUGAUGCAGAUCCUCUUCUCGCUAAUCCCGCCAUCGUUUUUAAUUUAAAGAUUUGCUCUGGAACUGCUGUCUCACGUCCACCCUAAUUACCAUUUUCCUCCAGAAACAUGAUUCAGUGUAAUCAAAACCGUGCUCGAGCAUUAUAGCUCUGUUGGUGCUUAUUAAACUCACCCGCCCGGCCACACAUUUCCAUACAUAACGAAGCAACGCUGUAGGCGAGAGAAUCCCCGGUACUUUCUAAAAUACAUCCCAGUAAACACACCUACAUCCGCCCUCUGUUCCGUCGUCGCUUUAAAUUCAUUAGCCGCGACCUGACAAUUACGGCUUCCAGAGCGCCGUCCUGUCAUCCGUCUUCAUUCACGUGCACGCAUGUGCUGCUCGCCGACAAAGGGGUCAAAGGUGGGACGCCAUUCCGGGUGACAUUUCACCGACCGCAGCGAUGAUCGAUCACUCCGCCGGUGUGCGGGUCUUUUAUUGAGGGAUGUUGAAGACAGAUGAGCGGAGGGGAAAAGAUGGGAAGAGAACACUGACUGCGGAGCAUGUUAAAUUCAUGCGUUUUUGAGCUCUGCGGCGGCUGUAACUCUACUUCCCGUGCGAUCCGGUCGUCUAACGCACCAGAUACAAAAUGCCCUUUGCAUUUCGGUCGAUGACUUUCCGCCUUGGUGGAUGAUCUUUCCUGAUGUUUUGUUACGUUUGGAGACAACCGAUGGCGAGUUAAAGUCCCAGAAGCACCUAAAAAACACCCGAUUGUACAAUGUGUCAACACAAUUUAUAAUCAAAAUCAUCAACCAACCAACAAAGAAGAGGUGAUAAGAUGCAGAUGAUAGACGCACCAUGUAGCAAGCGAGAUUUAAAAUCCUUGACUAUGCAGCUAAGCUGUGCUGUGGCCUAAACUUGGAAAAUAUACAAAAUCACAUUUUUUAUUCACUUUAGCACUCGCUCUUAACUAUUUUAUAAGCACAGAGUUUGUGUAAAUGAAGAACUACAGUUCUAGUGUUUUUCUUUUACUCUCAGGCAGUGGUAGUUUGAGGUCAUACAAUUGCAUUUUUUCUUUUUUUUGCCAAGAGUCUUAAUAGUUCUUAAGAAAAACAAGUGUUGGAUUUGAGUUUUUAGUGAUACUGUCAUUGAAUUUGAACUUGGUUAGACUCCCAAAAUGUUUUUUUCCAGCAAACAGGAGCAGUUGUAGGUCAAGUGCAGGCUGAUUUUUGCAU